GGUAGUGUGACCGAGCAGUCCAAGGCGCUGUAUUAAGGUUUCAGAGGCGUGGGUUCAAAUCCCACCACUGCCA
rnacentral:tRNA from 1 species